AACUAUGAAAGACCUUUCGUUAUCAAAAAGGUCUUCUCAUGAGGGGCUCUCAUUCUCACCAUAAUGGAUAGGGAUGAGUUGUCGAUGCCGGUGAAUUCAGAUACAGUCAAAAAAUACUAUGCCUAUAAAAAAUAAUAAAUACAAAUUCCGCUAGAUUGGCAUCUGCAAGAACCAAUCUACGAAAAAAUGGUUAUCCCGAUGGACCCCAAAAC
rnacentral:lncRNA from 1 species